GAGAGUAUAAACAAAGGGAUGAUGGGAAAUGAGGGAAAGGUUUAAUCCACGCAGACAGUCCUGCUCACAGCUCAGAGGUAAAUUUCAAAUGAACUCCUGCCGCUCUGCAGAAACUAUGUCCUAGAAUAUGACACCGUUUUUAUAUUUAGCCUAAAAAAACGGCAUGAUCAGAAAUAAAACACAACUGGGAACGCUUUUACAAUAGAUCAAAAGAUUCAAUUCAACAACUUCUUUAAGAAUUUCUCGUCUCUAUUUUUUUCUAGUCCCUGGCCUUAAUGUCUGUCACAGUUGUGAAAACUUGGCCGAGGCUGCUAACAGUCAUAUCAUAUUAUGUUUGCUCAAACUCACAGAUUGUAUUUUCAUCUCCGAAUCAAAGACAAGCAUCGUUUCAGCUCCUAGAACAGUCUUUUACUCUUUUCUUGCCUUGAAAACAGCUCAGCCUUCAAGAGUUUAGAGAGGCAGAGAAAAGGACAGAAAUAAAGGGGGGAUGUCUGCGAACUUCAAUAGGCUCUCUGUGUCCAUCUAAUAUGGAGCGCUCGCAUGCUGGGAGUUGGCCUUCUCCAUUCAGACAGACCCCAAACUCAUAAAGACCUCCUCUAUGGCCCCCAACCUGAAAUCCACCCACCGAACCCCUCGCUCAUAUAGGCCCCUUCCAUGGGAACUUGCAAUCUGCAAUGUAAUCCCGCUCUGGCCCCUGGAGAAGCCUUUCCAAACAAACCAUGUGAGUUCUAAUACCCAGGGCUUCACAAGUGGCUCCUGGUUAGGCCGGGGCUCCACCACCAAAAACAACUUGGCCCUCCUCCUUUUUUUUUCAUUCUUACUCUCCUUCCAUGGAUAGAUGACAAAGAAAGGGAUCUCCUUCUAAUUGCUUGGUGGGCUGAAAAGCAGAGAGGGUCGGUGGGCGGCUUCAAAUGGAAAAGAGACGGAGGCUCUGGAGGCAGCGGGGGACUGUCAGUCGGGCUUUGCCUGCUCUCGGUGAGCGGGAGCUGGGAUAAAGGAGCUGGCAGAGACGCGGCGGCUGCAGAGCUGAGCUGAGUGGAUCAGAGCGGAGGCGAGCGACUCCCAGGGCCCGGCUUUACAACUCGGGCCAAAUAGGGGACUAUGAGAACGCUGAUCGGCAACAACAGCCCUGCUGGAGGCCUUCUUCACACAUGGGAAAGGACGUCUGGUCCCACAAAUGGGACUCAGAAAACUCCGGCUGCAGUGAACGGCGCGUCCAAGGCCAAGAAGAGGACAUCUGACGUGAGGAGGCCGAAAACUUGUGUAUCGUCGGCCAAGCAAACAUUUGGCCCUCAGGAACAGUUGAAGCACUGUUGAUCACAGAGCUGGCUGAUGAUGAAACAAAACACCUUGACCUCGCUGCAAAUCCGAGGCGGUUUUUCGCUCCCCGUCAUCAGACAGCAACAGCAGCUCCUUUGAAGCUGGGUGGAGGAGCUGGAUUCAGCUGUCCGUCAAAGACUGCAGCCCUGGAGGAGAAGAACAGGAAGAAGUUGGCGGUCAUUAAAAUAAAGACCAUCUUGCACAACAGCAAAGAUCAAGUUGAAGUAAAAACGUUUAUUUCUUUGGCAAUACUUUCAAAUAAAGUUUAAGUUUAAAGGUUGAAUAUUAAAAAAAGGGACUUUCUCUAUGUGUCAUGACAUGAGAUCCAAAGGAUUUUGACCCCACUAACUGCAGAAAGUUCCCUCAGUCUCCCCUCCCUGACCUCCUUUCAUCCCUCCAUCCCUCCGCCUUUUUUUUCUUUUUAAUACAAAUCAGCCACUCAAUGCCAUGCACAUGUUUUAGUGCUAUUUGAACCGCGGCAAAGGAUUUCAAACGGCGUUCAAAGGGAGCCUGGUUUUUUCCUCCGCUGCUCUUUUUAUCCGCCUCGUUUUUGAAAGUACACAACCGCGCUUCCAAGCACACCUGAUCAGAAGGUCGAGAGAAUCGUGAAAUGCAAAUCAGGCUUUGUUAUCAGCACUGACAUUCGUUAUAAGGUAUGUGUGUGUGUUGGGGGGGGGGCAUAAAAAGGUGGCAAAUCACCCCCUUCCACCUCUUCAAGCAGAACAUCCACUCUCAGACAAGCAGGUCUACCUAAGCUCUGCAAUCAUUAGAAUUUAGAUCAAAAGGUUGCUCUCAACAAAGAACAGCUUUGAGUUGAGAGGAGGAAGCCCUUUGCACACACUGAUAUGUACUUUUACAGUCCAGAAUAUUGAUUGGUCGACCGACCCGAAAGGUGCUUUGUGCUGGAAAAGUGUUGAAGCGAGAGGCGAUGCCUGGGUUUUAGCCCGUUCUGAUGAUGUUGCCGUCUCUUGUGAUAUUUAGGAAGGAUGCAAUUACCAAACACUGCAAAUAAAAAAGGCUUUCAUGUCUCGCCCUCCUGCUGUGACUUGAUAAGGAUGAGGAAACACACACCACGCACACACCAGCGGACGCUGAAAGUCAUCCUCUUUCAAAUACACUUAGGAACAUCAUAUGCCCCCCUCCCACACCAUUUUUUUUUCAAUAUGCUUGAGUUCAAAGGAGUCCAAGCGAGGUGGCGACCUAUGCUGCUUUUCCAGCUAAUAGUCUGUCCCACCAUCUGCACUGAUCUAGUGAGGAGUGGGUUUUAUGAACUUCAUAAAGGGAUGGCUAUUAGAGCGUCAGGCUGCAGAUUGGCUGUGUGGCCUUUGAGUUUAACAGCUGGGGUCCUGAGUGCUUUGAUGUGUAACACUAUUAAAUCAUUUUUGAGAGGUAGGGGGAGCGGCUGGAACCUCACAAAAGGCCAUGGUCCCUGAUGUGUUAGGUAACUCUCUUUUCUUCCUUUGGGCAUAAAAAAAUGCACCCAGAAAACAAGGAUUCAAACAGUUUGUUGUCCGUUUUUAUUUCAAAAGUCACAGAGGAGAGGUUGGAAUUGAGAUCAACACAGUGUCAUGUACUAAAACCUUUGCUUUUUGUAUUUCUGAUGUUGUUUGUGAGAUCAAAGUUCAGGCUUUUUGUACAAAUCUAGAAUUAAGGUAACUGAAAACAGGAAACCUUUCUCGAAAGAAUAAAAAAGACAAAUCAGUUUAGUUCGGAAUUAUGGAGAAAAAUGGACACACUAACUCAAGUGAGAAAAAAGACAUCAACCAAUCAGUCCUUUCUAAAACGUUUUAUUCGUCAGAUCAAGCAGUCACCCAAAAUAAUCAAAUUGUGACCAAAGAUCUAUACAUAAUCUUGCAAAAAAACUUUAAGCAAUCCCAACUAAUUCACUUUUAAGACCUUCCUCAUAAAAUUUUUUUUAAAAAACAUCCCACAGAAUAAAGUCAAAAACUGAACUCCAUCUCCAAAGAAAAGGAUGAGAAUAAAGAAUCCUCAGUCCAGUUAUUUUACAGAGAAAGUGUGGGACUCUUCUGCUCUGUAAAAAAACCUCAAAUCAAUCGUUCUUUUUUUACCAAAACUAUAAAAAAUCUAAACAAAGCCUCUGUUCUAAUGCGUUGGUGUUGUGCCGUCCUCACCAAUUUAAAGUGAAAUGAAAUCAAACGCUGCUCCUAGACUGACCUUAGCUUCGUUUGAGAACCAUGUUUAUCCUCCUCAAGUAAAAAAUAAAAAAUAAAAAAUCAGAGGAAAUGAAUAAUUUCAACUUACAUCAACUUAAACUUGAGUCACGGUAUCAGGACUUUAAAUCUUCUUUGAAAGACUUCGCCACUCAUCUAAGUGGCGUCAUCAGUCUGGUCUGGACUGAUGGCGCCAUUCAGAUGAGUGAAAGAAAAUUUUAAGUCACCUGGAUAAAUAACAAUCUUCACCAACAGUUUACAUCACAGAAAAAGUCUACAAAGGUAAUAAAUGGUCAUUCCUUCAAAAGAAUCAGUUCAUUACUGUUGCAAUUAUUUUAUUCCAGUACAAAUUCCACUCCGGUUUGUAAGAUUUGGUAUUAAAAUUCAUCCAAAAUAUAUUUUUUGUCCCUUGACAGCUAGGUUCCUACAAUCCUGAAUAAAAUCAGGUGAGUAAAGAGAUCAGUUCAUUUAGAAUAACGCGUGUUUACAUAUUAUAAUUAGCUGGACUUUCAGAUCUGUGUGAACAUUUUGAUGACUUUGAAUAAAAAUAUUGUAUUUAAAAAUGUUUUUGAAUUUCUAUUAUAUGCGAUAACAGGACUAGGGAAUAACCUGUAUUAAUUUCCAAGAAAAAUAUUGUGUUACGUUUUAUAAUUUUCUGGGAGUUGGGGAAUAAAAUGAAUCACAAACAAUCUUUAUUGAAAAAAAGGUUUUCAGUCAAAAUUUUCAAAAAGCUUUUUGCUCUGAAAUUUUUGUUUUAAAACCUAAAUUAGUUAUGACACAUUUGUAGUACGCCUCGGAAAAAAUCCUUGACAUUCUUUACCUUUUCAGUCAAUUUUCGCCCCCUCCUUUGUCUUUACCUAUUUUUUUUAUUUAAAUAUUUUAAUUUUGUCUCUACGUGUUUGAUAUUUUUGUUAUAAUGCACAAGAAAAGUUUGAUCUCAAAUUCAGGGAUUUUUGCAGUAAAAAAAUGACAAAAUUACUUGAUUAUGAAGUUUCUUGGACAAGUUCAAGUUCAUUUAAUAAAAACCAUUGUGUAGUAAAAAAAAA